GGGGGCGAUAGGUCUCGACAGGGGCAUGGAGCGCCAGCACGGGUGCAUGCCGGGCUUACUCUGAGCAGCUCGUUAACAAGCUUGGGGAAACACAAUUGCCAACUCUAACGAAUUGGCCCUUGCUGCUUAAUUAAGUUAACCAGCAGGCGUCUCGCCGCAAGUUGCUCAAGCGCGCGGAGUGAGAUGUCACUCAGUUGAGCUAGUCCGCCGCCAUCGUCCGGGGGCGGCGGGCGAAAUCAAACCGGGCUAGUUGCCGGCGGGGUCUUCGUCGUUUCACUGACCCGUCGGCGGCGAACGCGCCUGAGCAAGACAGGCAGCAGAGAAGCGACUAAGCAUGUAGAGUCCGGCGGCGUCGGCCUUUGGACCCGAGUUCGAUUCUCGGCGCCUCCAUUU
rnacentral:tmRNA from 1 species